rnacentral:rRNA from 1 species
UACGGAGGGGGCAAGCGUUAUUCGGAAUUAUUGGGCGUAAAGGGCGCGUAGGCGGCUAGAUGUGUCAAAGGUGAAAUCCCUCGGCUCAACUGAGGAACUGCCUUUGAAACUGUCUGGCUUGAGGCCGGGAGAGGGUAGCGGAAUUCCCAGUGUAGCGGUGAAAUGCGUAGAUAUUGGGAGGAACACCGGUGGCGAAGGCGGCCUUCUGGACGGAUACUGACGCUGAUACGCGAAAGCGUGGGGAGCAAACAGG